UACGUAGGGGGCAAGCGUUGUCCGGAAUUAUUGGGCGUAAAGAGCGUGUAGGCGGUCCGGUAAGUCAGCUGUGAAAGUCAAGGGCUCAACCCUUGAAUGCCGGUUGAUACUGUCGGGCUAGAGUCCGGAAGAGGCGAGUGGAAUUCCCGGUGUAGCGGUGAAAUGCGCAGAUAUCAGGAGGAACACCGGUGGCGAAGGCGGUUCUCUGGGCCUGACCUGACGCUGAGGAGCGAAAGCGUGGGGAGCGAACAGG
rnacentral:rRNA from 1 species